rnacentral:lncRNA from 1 species
UCGCCUUUUUAGCUCACCUGGCCCGAAGGGCCAAGUGAGCUUUUCUCAUCACUUGGCGUCCGUCGUCCGUCGUCCGUCGUCCGUCGUCUGUCGUCCGUCGUCCGUCGUCCGUCGUCUGUCGUCGUCCGUCGUCCGGCGUCGUUAACUUUUACAAAAAUCUUCUCCUCUGAAACUACUGGGCCAAAUUUAACCAAACUUGGCCAUAAUCAUCAUUGGGGUAUCUAGUUUAAAAAAUGUGUCCGUUGACCCGGCCAACCAACCAAGAUGGCCGCCAUGGCUAAAAAUAGAACAUAGGGGUAAAAUGCAGUUUUUGGCUUAUAACUCAAAAACCAAAGCAUUUAGAGCAAAUCUGACAGGGGUAAUAUUGUUCAUCAGGUCAAGAUCUAUCUGCCCUGAAAUUUUCAGAUGAAUCGGACAUUCCGUUGUUGGGUUGCUGCCCCUGAAAUUGUAAUUUUAAGGAAAUUUUGCUGUUUUUGGUUAUUAUCUUGAAUAUUAUUAUAGAUAGAGAUACACUUUAAACAGCAAUAAUGUUCAGCAAAGUAAGAUGUACAAAUAAGUCAACAUGACCAAAAUGGUCAGUUGACCACUUUAGGAGUUAUUGCCCUUUAUAGUCAAUUUUUAACCAUUUUUCGUAAAUCUUAGUAAUCUUUUAGAAAAAUCUUCUCCUCUGAAACUACUUGGCCAAAUUUAACCAAACUUAGCCAUAAUCAUCAUUGGGGUAUGUAGUUAAAAAAAUGUGUCAAGUAACUCGACCAACAAACCAAGAUGGCCGCCAUGGCUAAAAAUAGAACAUGGGGUAAAAUGCAGUUUUUGGCUUAUAACUCAAAAACCAAAGCAUUAAGAGCAAAUCUGACAGGAAGUAAAAUUGUUGAUCAGGACACGAUCUAUCUGCCCUGGAAUUUUCAGAUGAAUCGGAUAAUCGGUUGUUAGGUUGCUGCCCCUGAAUUGGUAAUUUUGAGGAAAUUUUGCAUUUUGCUGUUUUUUUGUUAUUAUCUUGAAUAUUAUUAUAGAUAGAGAUAAACUGUAAACAGCAAUAAUGUACAGCAAAGUAAGAACUAAAAAUAAGUCAGUAUGACCAAAAUAAUCAAUUGACUCCCUAAGGAGUUAUUACCCUUCAUAGUCAAUUUUUAACAAUUUUCUUAAAAUUUGAAGAUUUUCAAUAACAUUUUCCACAGAAAGUACUGUUAUAGAUAGAGAUAAUUGUAAGCAGCAACAAUGUUUAGUAAAGUAAGAUCUACAAACACAUCACCAUCACCAAAACACAAUUUUGUCAUGAAUCCAUUUGUGUCCAUUGUUUAAUAUUCACAUAGACCAAGGUGAGCGACACAGGCUCUUUAGAGCCUCUAGUUUCAU